AUGGAAGGAGCCAAAGAAGGCACGUCUUGGUUUCAGUUUUGUCGACAAGAGAACGAAAAAGGAUUGCUGGAGAAAGCUUAUGGAACCCGUGACUAUGUCAACAAGGGCAAGACUCCGGAUUUCAAUGGACAACAUGAGAAACUGAAAGAUGAUUGGCCAGAAUUUGUGAGGCAAAAGAAAUCGGAGCAUUUCAAGGAAAUAUCAAAAAAAAAUAAGGAUAAUGCGAGUAAGAAAAAGUUCCAUCAUAUUAUGGGGCCAGGAGGAUACCGCCUUUCGGAGCCUAAGUGGCAGAAGAUGGAGGAGGACCUGAGGGUGCGAGGAAUCCCUCUAGGUACAGAGGGAUGGGACCCAAGGGCCAAAAGCUGGUGGUACGGGCAUGGGGGAUCGCUAGACCCGGAGACAGGGGUGUGUGUUCACCGGAAGAAAAAGUUUGCUCCCACCGAAGCCCUUAUUGACGCAAUGACCCAAGCUCAAGAGGGCUUGAUCAAGUUCAACAGAGAGAAAGACGCACUGACAACAGUCCUCGGGAAUGAUGAACACGGAGGACGUGUACGAGGCAAAGGCAGAAUUCCAUGGAAAGUAGGGUUUUCCCAGGACAAUGACCCGUACUGUUAG
rnacentral:rRNA from 1 species